AGCAGCAGCCACGGUAAUACAGAGGGUGCGAGCGUUAAUCGGAUUUACUGGGCGUAAAGCGUGCGUAGGCGGCUUCUUAAGUCGGAUGUGAAAUCCCUGAGCUUAACUUAGGAAUUGCAUUCGAUACUGGGAAGCUAGAGUAUGGGAGAGGAUGGUAGAAUUCCAGGUGUAGCGGUGAAAUGCGUAGAGAUCUGGAGGAAUACCGAUGGCGAAGGCAGCCAUCUGGCCUAAUACUGACGCUAAGGUACGAAAGCAUGGGGAGCAAACAGGAUUAGAUACCCCGGUAGUCCCUGUCUCUUAUAU
rnacentral:rRNA from 1 species